rnacentral:rRNA from 1 species
UAUCAUGCAGUCGAACGGCAGCACGAGAGAGCUUGCUCUCUUGGUGGCGAGUGGCAGAGGGGAGAGUAAUAUAUCGGAACGUGCCCAGUAACGGGGGAUAACUACUCGAAAGAGUGGCUAAUACCGCAUACACCCUACGGGGGAAAGGGGGGGAUCGCAAGACCUCUCCCUAUUGGACCGGCCGAUAUCGGAUUAGCUAGUUGGUGGGGUAAAGGCUCACCAAGGCAACGAUCCGUAGCUGGUUUGAGAGGACGACCAGCCACACUGGGACUGAGACACGGCCCACACUCCUACGGGAGGCACCAGUGGGGAAUUUUGGACAAUGGGGGAAACCCUGAUCCAGCCAUCCCGCGUGUAUGAUGAAAGCCUUCGGGUUGUCAAGUACUUUUGGCAGAGAAGAAAAGGCAUCCCCUAAUACGGGAUGCUGCUGACGGUAUCUGCAGAAUAAGCACCGGCUAACUACGUGCCCUACCCGCGGUAAUACGUAGGGUGCAAGCGUUAAUCGGAAUUACUGGGAAUUAUUGCGUGUGUAGGCGGUUCGGAAAGAAAGAUGUGAAAUCCCAGGGCUCAACCUUGGAACUGCAUUUUUAGCUGCUGAGCUAGGUAUGUCAGAGUGGGGUAGAAUUCCACGUGUUGCAGUGAAAUGCGUAGAUAUGUGGAGGAAUACCGAUGGCGAAGGCAGCCCCCUGGGAUAAUACUGACGCUCAGAACGAAAGCGUGGGGAGCAAACAGGAUUAGAUACCCUGGUAGUCCACGCCCUAAACGAUGUCAACUAGCUGUUGGGGCCGUUAGGCCUUAGUAGCGCAGCUAACGCGUGAAGUUGACCGCCAUGGGGAGUACGGUCGCAAGAUUAAAGCUCAAACUCAUUUUACAUUUGACCCGCCCACCCGCCGGCAUGAUGUGGAUUAGUUUUAUAUUUCGUGGAAAGCCCCACCAACUCUUAACCGUUGGUGGGGCGGA